CCAUAUGCUGUAUUUUUUUUCAGAGCGCUGCUCACAUUGGAAAUUACCUUGAAUAUCAAAACUUUCAGUAUGAUCAGUGGAGAUACAUACUGAAGGUUCUGUACAAGAAAGUUGGGCUUUUCAAAGAGGCGAUGGACCUGCAAAUCAAAGAGGUAACUCAUCGAUGAAGCGGAAGAUCAGAGUGACAGCCACUGAUCUGUGUUCAGGAGCUGGCGAAGCCAGCAGCAUGCAGUUGAGCCUCGAUCACUAAAUGUCCUUAACACUUGUAGACAAACAAACCCCCAUGGAAUUUGGCAUUGCUGUGGUUAUAUUUUGGAGAUGA